rnacentral:rRNA from 1 species
UACGUAGGGUGCAAGCGUUGUCCGGAAUUAUUGGGCGUAAAGAGCUCGUAGGCGGUUUGUCGCGUCUGCUGUGAAAACUCGGGGCUUAACUCCGGGCCUGCAGUGGGUACGGGCAGACUAGAGUGCGGUAGGGGAGACUGGAAUUCCCGGUGUAGCGGUGAAAUGCGUAGAUAUCAGGAGGAACACCGAUGGCGAAGGCAGGUCUCUGGGCUGACACUGACGCUCAUGCACGAAAGCGUGGGGAGCAAACAGG